UUGUAAAAAUGAAAACUCUAUCUCUAUUCUUGGUUCUCGUUUGCCUACUCGGUUUGGUCCAGUCCUGGGAAUGGCCGUGGAACAGGAAGCCUACGAAGUAUCCAAUUCCAAGCCCCAAUCCUCCCUAACCAUUUCUUCCGCAGGUGACAAGUGGUGCCGUCUUAAUUUGGGGCCCGCCUGGGGUGGAAGAUGUUAAGAUAUGAGUAUUUGAGCUUAAAAUAAAAUAAACCCACACCAAUGUCUUAAAAUCCCUAA
rnacentral:misc_RNA from 1 species